rnacentral:rRNA from 1 species
CUGUCACUUAUAGAUGGAUCCGCGCUGCAUUAGCUAGUUGGUAAGGUAACGGCUUACCAAGGCAACGAUGCAUAGCCGACCUGAGAGGGUGAUCGGCCACACUGGAACUGAGACACGGUCCAGACUCCUACGGGAGGCAGCAGUAGGGAAUCUUCCGCAAUGGGCGAAAGCCUGACGGAGCAACGCCGCGUGAGUGAUGAAGGUCUUCGGAUCGUAAAACUCUGUUAUUAGGGAAGAACAUAUGUGUAA